CCCGAGACGCCCCGGCGCUAGGGUUCGCUCCCCCGCCGCGCCCCAUCCCUCCGCUCCCGGCAACCCUCGCCACCUUCUCCUAUCCCCAGUCGUCGUCGUAGUACCUUGUCGUCGGUCCGGUGCGCGAGGGCAGGAGCCACGCGAAGCACCAGGCUGGUGGAGGCGCGGGGGAGGAGGAGGAAGACGAGGCAGCAGGACGGUGAGGGGAGGACGCGAGAGGGCGGCCGCGGUGGAACGGGAGGACCAUCUGAUGUCUUCGGUGGGGUAGCCCAACCGACCACUCCUCCUCCUGCGACGACGACAGAGGGCAGAGGACCAUCCAACUAUGUUGCUGCGGCUGAUGGAAUUGGGGAGGCGGCUUUGGUGAGAAGUCCGGUGGACCGAGGAACCACGGAUGCGGCGACGGAGGCCAUGGAGACUACUCAUCCUUGGUCCAGAAUCUUGCCAGACCACCCAGAGAUGACAAGCAUGCGCAUAUUUGAGAUGAUGGAUCUUGCUGCACCUGAAGAGAUGGUUAAUAUGAAGAACUUCCUAAUUGACUUCCUUGAGCCAUUCGCGCUGAGAGCUGGCUGGGAGGCCAAGAGUGGGCAGGGUAACUUGAAUGUACUGUUAAGAGGUACCCUCUUAACUGCUCUUGCUGAACUAGGCCAUCAGUCUACCAUAGAUGAGGUUGUUCGUCGAUUUAACCACCAUUGCGUGUGCUAUAGGUUCACAAAUCUAGAUGCCUUUGCUUGCCAAAUAAAAACCGAAGAAUAAUUAUGUUAGGAAGUUACACUAGCUUUGACGAUCUGAACAUUCAUGGAAUUUUUUCCGGCAUUGCAACCACAUUGAGCACUUCAGCUGUAAGUCUGUAAGCAGUUCUCUUUCAAAGAGAAAAAUGUAUACAUGCUUCAGUGAAUGGCCGGCCCUUCUAUUUAAGUAACAUUGCAAUUGUUAUUGCUACUUGCUAAUCGGUAUGCACUAGCAGUGCGGGGAAGACUUUCUCCAAAGCUCUUAAGAGUCCUCAAUCCAUUCACAUACAUAUGCAGUUUGAUUCAUGUGAAAUCAAUGACUGAUUAUCUAUGUCAACGCCAAGGGAAGUGGAGGACGAGGAUGGGGAGUUGGGGAAGUACAAAUUAAGGAUGAUUCAAUUUUAUUUGUUGGCUGAGGAACAAGUGUCAAGAUUGCUGCACCUCGAUUUAAUUUCAUGGCUCAGUCUGCACUUGGAGGAAGUACUUUGUAGCGUAUACUGGAGAGCACCGCCGCCGUAGGUUCAUGCCUUGGUGCUCCUCACCGGCGCAAUUUCCCAACCAUCUCUUCCUAUCGCCAUGUUCUCCUUUUUGCUGAAGGAACUACUUUGGAGAGACUGAAAACAUGGGACCAUAUGGUGGCUGAAGAAGGUGGACAUCACUGAUUGCCUGUUGCCUUCUUGUUAGGAGGCAAAUCAACAAGCACUCUUAUCUUACUUAAGGACGGAUUAGAUGCGAAAUAUUAUUUUUUGUUCGAUUCGUGUUCUAUUUAGUGGAUUCUGAAAGAUGAAACCAGUAUGGUGGCAUCUACCAAAGAACCAUGGCAUGUCUUUUCAAGGAAGUGGUGUGUGACCAUGAAUGCAGCAAUGAGGAUUGCUAUGUCGAUUCUUUUGUUGUAGCAGACUACUGAUAUGAUAGUCAUAUCUAUAUUAUUUUAACCU